rnacentral:rRNA from 1 species
CCUACGGGAGGCAGCAGUGGGGAAUAUUGCACAAUGGGGGAAACCCUGAUGCAGCGACGCCGCGUGAGUGAAGAAGUAUUUCGGUAUGUAAAGCUCUAUCAGCAGGGAAGAAAAUGACGGUACCUGACUAAGAAGCCCCGGCUAACUACGUGCCAGCAGCCGCGGUAAUACGUAGGGGGCAAGCGUUAUCCGGAUUUACUGGGUGUGAAGGGAGCGUAGGUGGCAUGGUAAGCCAGAAGUGAAAACCCAGGGCUCAACUCUGUGGAUUGCUUUUGGAACUAUCAAGCUAGAGUGCUGGAGGGGUAAGCGGAAUUCCUAGUGUAGCGGUGAAAUGCGUAGAUAUUAGGAGGAACACCGGUGGCGAAGGCGGCUUACUGGACAGAAACUGACACUGAGGCUCGAAAGCGUGGGGAGCAAACAGGAUUAGAUACCCCAGUAGUC